UGGGAUUUAUGUUCAUAUAGCAAUUUGAGAGGCACAGUUUUAUAGUGUCUCUAGAGACCUUAAUCAUUUUUCUGCCAUGUCUCUUUCAUACAGUCAGAUACUGACAGUGCAAUACAUAUUUUGGAAAACAACACUGGAGCAGGUUUUUCAGAUGGUGUGCUGUUUCUGUCAAAUUUACUUGAAAGCUGUUUUAUAUAUGUUUUGUUUCUCCUGGAACCAGCUAUGGAGUUUCCAAUUAGAUUUCUUAGUUAGGGUGUGAGAAACUAAGGUUUUUUGGUGGAGGGAAGCCCCUCAGAUAGUAAUACCCACCACAUUUGGGGAUCACUGUACAGUAGAUCCAUUCUACGUGUGGAUGACCUCCUCUGACCACAUCUAAUGAAAAACCACACCAUUUCUGGCUUUUGAGUGGAAGCAGAUAUAGCUAGGUUGGGCCAGCUACAAAUGAUAUAAUAAUGAUUGUUGCUGUCCUAGAGUGGACAUUACUUGACAUGCUAAUCAUGUUUCUGGGGAUACUUUCUACAGACUAAUCAUGCAAUUUUGAAGCCUUUAUUAUUGCAGUUUCCUUUUUUUCUGGUUGCAAUUUUAUGGUUAUAGAAUGAUAACUUUAGCAAAGAUAAUAAUCUAGUGACACUGAAUAUGGAACUAGAAUUUAAGUCGUCUGACUCUGAGCUCUGUAUAGGUGCAGCUCUGAGAUUUAAGACUUAUACAUGCUCAAGGCCCUAGGUUCAACUCCCAGCACCACACACACAUGCGCACAUGCACGCAUACACACACACACACAAGAUUAUAUUUGAGCAACAACCAAAGAGCAUAAUGGUGUUAUUUUUUAACAAAGUAGAUAAAUGCUGUAUUAUUUUGAUUCUUUCAUGGCCUUGUAACUUCAUACCAUUGCCUGUAUAACUGUGUCUCAGGAUUUGUCAUAAUCUAUAUUAAAAGUAACCUGAGAGAUGUUACUUUGAGAUGUUACAUAUCGAAUUCCAACAUUUUAAUGCAUUAUAAGUAAUAUGGAUUUUGUUUCUCUGUAGGCUCAAAGCCUAACUCCCCAGGACUAUAAUCUGAGGUGGUCAGGCCUUUUGGUGACAGUGGGCGAAGUUCUGGAAAAGAGUUUACUGAAUGUCAGCCGGACUGAUUGGCACAUGGCUUUUACUGGCAUGUCUCGUCGACAGAUGAUCUACAGUGCUGCCAAAGCAAUUGCAGGCAUGUAUAAACAGCGCCUGCCCCUUAGGACCAUGUGAGGGAAGACCUGUCUAGGAUACUGAGACUUUCUUCACUUUUAGCUUGAUGUCGUUAUACCUUCUUGAAUAGUUUCAAUGAAUUUAACAGUUUUGUAAUUUUCCUGUAGGCUGUAAUUUUUUUUUCUAGAGAGGCAUGUUAUCAUUCCAAUAGAAGAAAAGAAAUAGAUCCUUUUUAUAAUCAUAUAAUUAUGCAUAUAGUUCUCAGAAAAAAAUAUACAAAUAUAUUUAUAGCACAGUUUAAUAUACCAAAUUCAUAUAGUGGAAAUUCAUGUGCAAAGACAUUUAAUUUAAAGAUGUGUACUUGAUUGUUUUGUUUUUAAAGAAGACAUAGUUAAUUAAGGAACAUGUCUAUUGAAUAUUCUUUAAAAACAUUGUUCUUUUUGUUUUUUUGUAUGUGCACAUGGCCUCAGGUCUGAUGGAGAGCAGCUUGCUCAACAAUUUACCUUAGGACACCUACUUGUAUUUAGAGAGAUGUCACACAUUUUUAUGCAUGUUUUAUACAAAGUGAGCCAAAUACAGAAUUGAUCAUUUCUGUCUAGUCAUCAUGUACACAUACAAUCUGGAAAGUCAUCCUUGUUUCCUUUUUUUUAAAAAACUAAGUUUUGGCAUUUUAUAGAUUUAUACUAUGAACAUUGGGUAAUACAUUUUAUUUUUUCAUUGCUAUAUGACAACUAAAGGGCGAAUAAUUUGAGUAUAUUUUAGAUCAGAGUAUUCAUAUUAUUUUUGUAUAAUACUUUUCAGUACUUCCAAGAAUAAAUUCUGACAGUGGCCAUUUUAUGUGCUUCCACCCAUUCUCCAAACUUUUACAAAAGACAUUUUUGAGAGGUGAUUACUUUAUUGCCUAUGAGAGGGUAUGCCUCAGAUUUUAAGUAUGGUUGCUUCUUCUUUCAUUUGCCUUAAGCACAACUUUUCUAACUGCCAUUCUGCCUUUAUUUUUUAUGGAAAUUUUCAAAUAAACUAUUUUAUAUUCAAUCUGGUUUAUUUAGUUCGUUAUGUUUGUAUUUAAUGAAAGCUUUUCCCCCCUCAAGUAAUAUAUUUUACAGUUGGGAUUUAUAUAAAUAAAAAUUAAGUAAAUGUUUUUUCUUGUAUAGUUGAACUCUAUGCAACUUCAAAUAACUUUGAUAAUAGUUUCACAUAUAAACGUAAUUUUAUUUACUCUUCUAUACUGUUAUUUUGAUGUAAAAGAAUUAGCACAAUCUGGCAGUUUUAUAAAGGGUGAUGAAGGUUGUAUCCUGCACUGUCUUCAUAUGUAAGGUUUGCUUUGUGUUAAUGUUAUUUAAAGUAAUUAUUUCAUUUUCCCCCCUUUUUUUACUUGAGAGUGAGAAGAAUUAAGUAUUCAUUUUGAAACUAUAAUGUAUGUUCAUUUCUGAGCACCAUAAAGUGAAAUUCCAACUUUUAUAUCAUUCAGAGUAAUGAGAAACAGAAACAAGACAUAACAAGUUGCUGUGGUGCACUUUUGUUUGGGGUAAUAGGAUCAAAAUACAUUUUUCCCUCUUUGUGAGUGAAAAGAGAAGCCUUUUAUACUAUUUUCCUCGCUCCUUUAAGUCCAUCCUUCUCUAACAGUAUUUUAUCAGGGCUUUGGCCCCAUGACACAAACAGUCUACUGUAGACUGAAGACAAGUAUGCCCAAACUUAAAAUAUUUCUGCUACUUUCCCUCCUACUAUAGGGAAAUUUUAUAGAGCCUAAAAAUCUGAGUUUUUCUUUCCAUUUUUGUUUUCCCAAGUCUAAAACAUCUUAUUUGAUAUCAUUGAGGAUUGUUCUGAUAGAAUCACAAACAUUGCCAUUUCCUGGAAUCCUCAAAUUUCUGGAGCAGAGCUGCUCCAUGGCUAGGUUGGAGCUUGAUAGUGUUCCUGUACCUAGUUAUUGGUGAGCCUUCUGCUGCUUUCUGAACAGUAGGAGUGGGAGAGGUGGAGGAGAGAAGGGCAGAUAGAAGAGAGAAGUACAUGCUUUCGUCUGGCCUCCGUGUCCUUGGCCCAGUUCUCUGAAAGGCAAUAGAGCAUGGCUGACUCCACAUUCUCAGCUUUCCCAACCUCCUGGAAUUUCCCUUUUACAUUAUGAUCAAGGAAAGUAACUUGCUCUCUCCUAGCAGCUUAGCCAGACAGUCUUGCUGUGAUCAUCAAUCUUAAGGCCAGAGCCUCCAUCUCCUCUGUGCCUUUUCUUCUUGUCCAUUUCCUUAAUAACUCCACAAGAACAUUUUGGGAAGUUGUGAGUAGAUAGCUAUUUGCUUUUUUUCUUUCCCAAGCUUUUAGGAAAAACCUGUCUUUAACACAGUUUGUUAUCAUUAUUGUGGUAGCUUGAAAUUUUUUUUCUUCUGAAGAACCCCAGAUUAUUGAGUUUCAUGUUUUAUGUAUUUUAAUCCAAGUUGUUGAAUUCUAUAAGCUUGUACACUUAUUUAAAUUGGUGCGAGAAAAAUAGGAAAAAUGCUGAAGAUUAAUUUAACAUCAACCUCAGAUUAUUGCUCAGUUCCAGGUUUCUCCUUGUAUUUUUUUUUUUAUUGUAUUGGAUUUUUUUUCUUGUUUGUUUCUUGUUGUACUAGGGGGUAGAAUCCAGUACCUCAAGAACACUAUGGGAGCCCUCUACCACUGGGCUGUAACCCCACGCCCCUAUUGAGUUUUUGAGACACCCAUGGACCUGGCUAUGCCAUGUACUUCUUAAGUUGGAAAGGCCUUGGGUGAUGCUGGUAGUUUCAUCUUCUGAUUCUUUGUUAUUAUUGCUUUUUCAUUCUUUGUUCCUCAGUCUUUUGAGGAUUAAUGAAGUAGAAAAUUAGGAUGUAAAAAGGCAAAAAGAUAGUAUGGUAGUAAGUGUGAGUACAUUUAAGAGUAUAAAUGAAACUGUAUAAUGUAUAUCUAUUCGAAUUAUGCAAUUAGCAAUUACUCAGGGUCGACUAAAUUAACAUGCUGUUGAAUUUAUUCUGUUCCUUGGCUGGAAAAAAAAUUCAAAAUAGGACUUUGUGACUUAUGAAGCCAAAUUGAUAACAUUCUAUGUUUAAAAGUUGUUGGGUUAAACAUAAAUUAUGUGGAUUUUUACUUCUGGGACAUGGUGUUCUUUUUGUGAUAUUAUGCAGAAUCAUGUGUUAGAUAAAAUCAGUUUUGUAAGUAUGUACAUAUUACAUAAAUAAAUACUUAUUUCUCAAAGGUGUAUAGUGAUUUUUA
rnacentral:lncRNA from 1 species